CACUAUGUAAAGCAAACUAUAUGAAAAUAUGGGACGCAAAGCCACCGGUCUAAGGAUUUUUCUAUGACAGCGGGGUUGCCAAU
rfam:Colwellia sp. 39_35_sub15_T18 BD02T18sub15_scaffold_132, whole genome shotgun sequence.